UACAGAGGGUGCAAGCGUUGUUCGGAAUCACUGGGCGUAAAGCGCGCGCAGGCGGAUGGUUGCGUCCGGAGUGAAAUUUCGCCGCUCAACGGCGAAGCUGCUUUGGAUACGGACCGUCUAGGGACCGGUAGAGGCUGGUAGAAUUGCAGGUGUAGCGGUGGAAUGCGUAGAGAUCUGCAAGAAUACCCGUGGCGAAGGCGGCCAGCUGGGCCGGAUCCGACGCUGAGGCGCGAAAGCGUGGGGAGCAAACAGGAUUAGAUACCCUGGUAGUCCACGCCGUAAACGAUGGGCACUAGGUGCCGGGGGGAGCGACCCCCUCGGUGCCGCAGCUAACGCGAUAAGUGCCCCGCCUGGGGAGUACGGCCGCAAGGCUGAA
rnacentral:rRNA from 1 species